rnacentral:rRNA from 1 species
AUUGAACGCUGGCGGUAUGCUUAACACAUGCAAGUCGAACGGUAGCAGGCCUUCGGGCGCUGACGAGUGGCGGACGGGUGAGUAACGCGUAGGAAUCUGCCUCAUAGUGGGGGACAACGUGGGGAAACUCACGCUAAUACCGCAUACGCCCUAAGGGGGAAAGCGGGGGCUCUUCGGACCUCGCGCUAUGAGAUGAGGCUGCGUUAGAUAGGCUAGUUGGUAGGGUAAAAGCCUACCAAGGCGACGAUCUAUAGCUGGUCUGAGAGGACGAUCAGCCACACUGGGACUGAGACACGGCCCAGACUCCUACGGGAGGCAGCAGUGGGGAAUAUUGGACAAUGGGCGCAAGCCUGAUCCAGCAAUACCGCGUGUGUGAAGAAGGCCCUAGGGUUGUAAAGCACUUUCAAUUGGGAGGAAAACCUGCCGGUCAAUACCCGGCAGCUUGACAUUACCUUUAGAAGAAGCACCGGCUAACUCCGUGCCAGCAGCCGCCGCAGUAA